GGCCCAAUGGCCAAAUGGUAAGGCGUCAGAUUUCGGCUCUGAAGAUUGUGCGUUCGAGCCGCACUUGGGUCG
rfam:Chaetomium thermophilum var. thermophilum DSM 1495 unplaced genomic scaffold scf7180000011816, whole genome shotgun sequence.